GUCCUUUAGAUUUUAAUUUAAGGUCUAACCUGCCCACUGAAUUAUUUUAAAUGGCCGCAGUAAUUUGACUGUGCAAAGGUAGCAUAAUCAUUAGUUUUUUAAUUGAAAGCUUGUAUGAAAGGUUGAACGAAGUAAAAUCUGUCUCUAAUUAAAUUAAUUUAGAAUUUAACUUUUAAGUUAAAAGGCUUAAAUUUAACUAAAAGACGAGAAGACCCUAUAGAUCUUUAUAUUUGAGUUAAUAAAUUUAAUUAAGAAUUUUUUAAAUUUUAUUAAUUUAAUUAUUUUAUUGGGGUAAUAUAAAGAUUUAAAUAAUUCUUUUUUUUUAUUAACAUUAAUUUAUGAUUUUGAUGAUCCAAUUGUAUUGAUUUUAAGAUUAAGUUACCUUAGGGAUAACAGCGUAAUUUUUUUAAAGAGUUCUUAUCGAUAAGAAAGUUUGCGACCUCGAUGUUGGAUUAAAAAUUAUUUUAGGUGUAGAAGCUUAAAAAUUUUGGUCUGUUCGACCAUUAAAUUUUUACAUGAUCUGAGUUCAGACCGGUGUAAGCCAGGUCGGUUUCUAUCUUUAGUAAGUUAAAAUAUUUUAGUACGAAAGGACCAAUUAUUUAAUAUAAAUAUUUAAAUUUUGAUUAUUAUUAA
rnacentral:rRNA from 1 species